GGUCUACUAUCACUGAACUGCUGGCACUGUGACAUCACAGGGGUAUCUGAAUACACAUCCUUUUCCUACCACAGGACAUCACAUGGGAUUCUGAGAACACUAGAUAAGAUGUCCUUUUCUGUAGAGAUAUUACCACUCUGGAGACCACAAGUCCGUUUUAGGGUCAAGUAACGGCCUUAUGCUUUUAGAAAGCUUGAAACUACUUUUAUUAAAUAAGUCUCUUCUAACCGAAACAUUCCAGUAUAUAGUAAGUAAGGAAGCUUCUGUGGCUCGUUGAUAAGCUAAGGCUGCCUUGAGAAGACUCUUGAAAUUAAAGUAUCCUACUGUAUUCAGGUCCUGAAGGGAGCACCAAGGCUACAGCUCUCAUGUGUUGUCAUCUCUGCUAGUGUGGGCUGUUAAAGCAUUCUGUCAGCAGAUAAAAUUAUGGCAUUUCUUGUCCUGUGAGAAGCCUGCCACAUUUGAAGAAACAUGGCAUGGAGGUAUUGAUGCUCAUUGUCUUCCUUGUAGCGGAAUGGAGCUACUUUCCACAAGAUCUUAAUGGAAAAUGAAAGUAUUUUAUAUCUUCUGAAGCCUUCACAUGGUGGUUUGCAUUUCCAAGAACUUU